UCUAAUCCUCUCCCUCUCUCUAUCGACAGAUUUGAGGAUUCCUCAAAUCCCGUCGCCUUCACCGACAAUCCGUUCUGAGUUCCCCCAAACCCCAUCGCGUCGCUGCUGAUCCUGGCUACUGUUCGCCGCACGCUGCUGUCUCCCGGGAAUUGUUGACGUCGUUGUUUCUGCGGCCGUCUCACUCUGCCACAGUACCGCCGGCGUUCACUGCUCUGCCAACGCUCGCCCGACCUGAACGCCGAGAGGUCGUCGCUGCUGUUCUUGAUCAGCCACCGUCGCUGUUUCCGCUGCUCGAAUCCGUCGCUGCCUCUCACCGCCGCGGUAGCAGGUCGACGUCGACAUUGCAGCAGCUGUUCGUCGCCAUUGCUCGCUGCUGCUGCCGUCAGAGUGGAGGAGGUCUGGCCACCGCGGAAUCACCGUAGCCCACCGGCAGCGUCGAGUCAGCCAUCUCGCUGCUCGGCCGCCUCAUCCCACUGUCGCCGCUGCACAGCCGCCUCCCACCCGAAAACACUCCAAACCAGCCCGGAACCACCCCGAAACGUCCCGCAAGACACGUUCUCAACAUAAAAGUUAAUUGGGGGAGAUGGAAGGUGAAGGAGUUGGAAACAUGGAGGGUCUCCAAUUGAGAAGAAACGGCCGAGAGGGAGGAAAGAAGAAGGAGAAAGAAGAAGAAGAAGAAAGACUUGGGCUUGUUCCCACAUUUUGGAAUUAAAAUUGGGCUUCCAAACUUGAAUUUGUUUUGGGCUUGUUUAAUUGCAAGCCCAAGUUUGUAAAAUUCUUUAUUUGUAGACUUUUUAUUUGUUAUGUCCAAAAGCCCUUUUUACUUUUAAGAAUAUUGGACUUAAUUUAGGAUCC